CUCCGCCGCACCGUAGCGCGUUGCCAUAGCGACGCACGGCGCGGCCUGGCGCGAUGUCGUACCGCGAUGUGCGGAACCUGACCGAGAUGCUGCGGGCGCUGGGCUAUCCCCGCCUCGUCUCCAUGGAGAACUUCCACGGGCCGAACUUCGCGCUGGUGGCCGAGCUGCUGCUGUGGCUGGUGAGGAGGUAUGAACCUCAGUCUGACAUUCCCCCUGAUGUUGAGACAGAACAGGACCGGGUUUUCUUCAUUAAGGCUGUAGCUCAGUUCAUGGCUACCAAGGCCCACAUAAAGCUCAACACCAAGAAGCUUUACCAGGCAGAUGGCUAUGCAGUGAGAGAGCUGCUGAAGGUCACCUCUGUGCUUUACAGUGCAAUGAAUACGGAGGGAAUGGAGCGCACAGACAUCACUGAAGAAGACAGCAGCAAAUUCAAAUUUGAUCUUGGCUCAAAAAUUGCUGACUUGAAGGCGGCUAGACAGCUUGCUUCUGAAAUCACCUCCAAAGGAGCAAGUCUGUAUGACUUACUUGGCAAAGAGGUAGAGCUAAGGGAAGCAAGAACAGAAUCUAUUGCCAGACCUUUGGAGAUAAACGAAGCUGAGAAGAUGAUGAAAGUUGCCAUUGACUGUGUUCUGGAAGAGGUCCAGAAGACUAAGGACAUGUUGAGUAAUGUGGCUUUGGACGAAGCCAAUUUGGAAGCCAAAAUUGAAAAAAGGAAAUUGGAGCUGGAAAGAAGCCAGAAGAGGCUGCAGACCCUACAGAGCGUUCGUCCUGCUUUUAUGGAUGAAUAUGAGAAGAUCGAAGAGCAACUGCAGAAGCAAUACACUAGCUACCUAGAAAAAUUCCAUAACCUAACCUACCUGGAGCAGCUCCUGGACGAUCAACAUCGGACUGAGCAGGAGAUGUUUGAGGAAGCAGCAAACAUGCUGCGUCUGAUGCAGAACAGGCUGAAGGAGGAGGAACAACGCCUGCUUAAGAGUGGAAAUAAUGAUGAUUCUGACGUGGAGAUUCAGGAGGAUGAAGGCUCUGACAGUGAAAUGGAGGACAGGCAGCUCGGGAAGCAGCACGUGGCCUUGGAGAUGCUAGUGCCAGGAAGAGCUGGUGCCCGGAUCGUGGGAACAAUGCAGGGUGGAGACACAGAGGAAGAUGGGAGAGCUGCCCCAGCCCAGCCAGGCAAGCAUGGGAUCAUCACCAAGGCUCAGGAGGAGUCGGGGGAUAGUGAGAUUGACCUGGAUGAUGACGAAGAUGAGGAGGAGGACGUGGAAGAUGACAGCAUGGAAAUCUCCCCGAGCAAAUCCAGCCACCGAGCAAAGAAGCCAGAGCCUCUGGAGGAAAGUGAUAAUGACUUCUGACCCUUCAGCAGCAGGACCAGGAGGCACCUUGAAAUGCAGACGUUGGAGAGCAUGUGGGCCAGGAACUAAUAGCACCCUGCCAUCUGAAAAGUGCUCGUCAGCAUGAGUUCAGGAGUUGGAGCAGAAAUCAGUGCUUGAUUAGAUGAGUUUGUUCCAGUGUGUGUUCAUCAGAGCAGACAAGAGCUCAGGCUGUUCUCCCGUCCUUCCUUUUUUUUCAUGCCAGCAAAGUACUUUGCUUUCCCUCCAUCUGAAGAGUGUAGUCCAGCCCCUCUUUUAUUGAACUGAAGGAAGGAAUGCACAGCAGUUACCUGAAAAACCAGGAACUCUUCCAUCUCUCACAUCUCUAACACCUAAAGUAGUUCCUCAUCAGCUGAGCUCAGAACUGGAAAUGCCCUGUCAGGAUGUGCCAAACCUUUACAGGUAA